AACGUAGGAGGCGAGCGUUAUCCGGAUUUACUGGGUGUAAAGCGCGUGCAGGCGGUACGCUAAGUUGGGUGUGAAAGCUCCUGGCUCAACUGGGAGAGGUCGCUCAAGACUGGCGGACUAGAGCAUGGUAAGGGAAGGUGGAAUUCCGGGUGUAGUGGUGAAAUGCGUAGAUAUCCGGAGGAACACCAGUGGCGAAAGCGGCCUUCUGGACCAUGACUGACGCUCAGACGCGAAAGCUAGGGGAGCAAACGGG
rnacentral:rRNA from 1 species